rnacentral:lncRNA from 1 species
GUGUCUUUCCCUCAAGUUGUUGAUCUUGGUCAGGGAGUUCUCAUUCCUGACAUGGCUCACAACUCCAGUUCAAGACAAUCUCGAAAAUCUCCCCAAUCAGGAUCCUGUAAUUACUAUUGAAAAUCAAACUCAACAACCUCAAGAAACUGAAGUGCCAUUAAGGAGAUCCACUAGAGAGAGGAGAAAUGCAAUUCCGGAUGAUUAUGUUGUAUUUCNNNN